UUAUUGUAGUACUUGUUGGUGUAGCCUUCGUUGUUGUAGUUGUUUGUGUUGCCAUUGUUGUUGUAGGUGUUGGUGUAGCCAUUCUCACUAUUCUGGUUGCCUACUUCAUAGCUUUCACCAGGCAGCUUGUAGCCAUUAUUGUAGUACUUGUUGGUGUAGCCGUUGUUGUUGUAGUUGUUGCUGUAGCCAUUCUCACUUUUCUGACUGCCUGCUUCAUAGCUUUCACCAGCUAGUUUGUGGCCAUUAUUGUGGUACUUUUUGGUGUAGCCAUUGUUGUUGUAGUUGUUUGUGUUGCCAUUGUUGUUGUAGCCAUUCUCAGUAUUUUGAUUGCCUGCUUCAUAGCUUUCACCAGCUAGUUUGUAGCCAUUAUUGUAGUACUUGUUGGUGUAGCCGUUGUUGUUUUGAUUACCUGUCUCAUAUCUAGCACUACCAAGUUUGUAGCCAUUGUUGUUGUUCUUGUUGUUGUAGUUGCUCCUCUCGUAACCAUUAUU
rnacentral:lncRNA from 1 species